UACGGAGGGUGCAAGCGUUAGUCGGAAUUACUGGGCGUAAAGGGUGCGUAGGCGGGGAUGUAAGUCAGAUGUGAAAUACCGUUGCUCAACAACGGCCGUGCAUCUGAAACUGCAUUUCUAGAGGGAUAGCGGAGAAAACGGAAUUCCACGUGUAGCGGUGAAAUGCGUAGAUAUGUGGAAGAACACCUGUGGCGAAAGCGGUUUUCUAGCUUGACCCUGACGCUGAGGCACGAAAGCAAGGGGAGCAAACAGG
rnacentral:rRNA from 1 species